ACGAAAUAAGGCGAGCUAAUUAAUUGUAAAUCUUAGUUUAUUGAAUGUUGCAUAAUUGAUAUAAACAUAUAAUUAGGGGUGAUAGGCUAAUCAAGUCUUAAGAUAACUUGCUGUUUAUUAAAUGUAUCAAGUACAAAGUCAAUUAAAGAGUGCUUAGAUUCUUUAAAAAUACUAAACUCAAAACUAUUUCGCGCCUAGCUAUAACUAGCGGACAUUACUUAACACAACAUAAAUUUUGAGAUGGUUGUAAAAUAUAAUAAACUAUUUAAAAUUAACUGAAAUAUAAAUAAUGUUAUUAUAAGUAAUCUAUCAAAUAUUUCUCAUGAACUCGGCAAUAAUUUUCUUCAACUGUUUAUCAAAAACAUAGCUUAUAGAAAAAAUUAUUAGUAUUUUCUGCUCCAUGAGACAUUAAAUUGCCGCAGUACUUUGACUGUGCUAAGGUAGCAUAAUCAAUUGGCUUGUAAUUUAAGUCUUGAAUGAACGAAAGCAUGAAAGAAAAACUUUAUUAGAAAUAUUAAACUAAAUUAUUUUGUAAGUGAAAAUACUUACAAAGAAAUAUUAGACGAGAAGACCCUAGAAAUUUUAAGAUUAUGCUAGAGACUCUUUUUGUUGGGGCAACAAUAUAACAAGUAAUUUAUAAUUAUUAACAAGAAACUAAUGGGUAGAUAAAAUUACUCUAGGGAUAACAGCGUAAUGUACAAACGUUUGCGACCUCGAUGUUGGAUUAGGAAAUAUAAGCUUAGAA
rnacentral:rRNA from 1 species